ensembl:snRNA U5 U5 spliceosomal RNA
CUGGUUUCUCUUCAGAUCAUAUGGAUCUUUUGUCUUUUACAAAUGAUUUCCAUGGAGAGGAACUCGUGAAG